GGGCUUAGCUCAGUGGUAAAGCAUCUGCCCUGUAAGCAGAAGGUUCCAGGUUUGGUCACUGCCAUCUCCA